AAAAUAAACCUCAAUCGAAAACCUCCAAAUCCCUCCUAAACUAUUUUGCGAUUUCAUUCUCUCCCUACCGAAACUCCCGAAAUCGAAUUUCUGAUUCUUGUCGACUUCCAACGAUGAUUUCCGUGGCUUCAUCUUCGUCCGGCGGCGACUUCCAUGGCCUCAUCUUCGUCCGGCGGCUUCAUUUGAAAACAGGUACCUAAUUCAGAACAGUAGCAUACAUUAGUUUCUCAACCUUUGGCACAUACUAAAUUUUAAAAUAAUUUUUAGUAGAGAUUUCAAAUGUUAGACACCUUUGGCUUCGAUUCCAGUAUUCUUUUACUCUUGGGCUCAAUUUAUUUUGUGUUUUUCCAUCCAGUAGACGACAUUGGAUACUUUCCAAAUUUCACAGACACACUUGCUUCACGUUUCUUUUCAGUAUUAUCAACAACACAUUGCUUGCCUACAUCCAUAAAUUUUCUUUUCUUUCUUGGCUUAGGAAUACCAAAGACCACCCUUGAUCCUUCUUUCUGCAGACCAAUUCGUUUAAUUACUCUCUCAGAAUCCAUAGCAGACUUCCCAAAAUUAAAUACCUUGUCCUUCGAAGAUAAAGGCAAAGGUGCAAAUUCAUGAGUUUUCCUAUUCACCCCUAAAACAUCUGGUUCACGACUUACCAUUGCUUCAGACUUGCUUAUUUUUCGCCUCUUCUGCAAGGUGUAUCACCCUGUACAAUCAUAUUGAAGUCAGAAGUUAAUAUAUUAUAUAAAUAAUGGGAUAUAUGAAAGCAAAAAAAAAAAAUGCUUGUUUUUCUCACAUACUAAAUAACUGUUUUCCCACUAAUUGUAAGCUCCCAUUGUUCCAAUGCCCCCAUUCCUCCAUUUUGAUUUUAUUUUAAAGGUUUGAAUGUGAUUUGAAUGGUUUACUGAUAUUGUAUGGUUUAUUAAAUUUCUUCCAUUCAUUGUUUUCAUUGCGAUUCAAUAUUUUUUUGGUUUUAUUGUUUUCAUAUGGUUCUGUUUUAUUAUUCUGUUUUUGCAUUCAUUUGAAUGGUUCUGUUUUAUUAAAAUGUUCUGUUUGGUGAAUUUAUUUUGCUUUUAGUUUAGGAUUAUAUUUAGUUUUUUUACUUCCUCUCUUAAAUUAAAAAAACUCACUGAACAGAACAUUACUUCCUAUCUCAAAUUAUUAAUAAUUAAGAUUAAUAAUUCAUCCUAUCUUUAGUUUUUUUACUUACUCUCUGAACUUUUUAUAUUUUUUAUGAUUCAAUGAUCCGCCUUAAGCUUAUAUUUAUCUUUUUUUAGUUUUCAUUUUUUUUUACUGUUUGUAACGAGCUACAUUUUAUUGAAACAAGAAAAUUAAAAAUAAUUAGCAAACAAUGUGAUUUAACAUGUUUUUUGUGAGUAUUUAUCUAAUUUUUCUGUAAACAGGAUUUGAUUUCAAUUAUCAUUAAAAGGAAAAUGGUCAUGGAAAGAUUUUAAAAAAUUGAAACAAUUAAUUCGAUUAUUUGCUAAUAAAUUCAAACUGUAAUUUCACAUAGUUUAUUCCAAACUCACAAGUGUUGGUGCUAAAGAAGCUUAUACAAGGGAAACUUGAUCUUCAUUUCACCAAAAAUUCGAAUUACGUAAUUUCUGAUUUCUUAUUUCAAUUAUCGUUUUAGUUUAUUAAUCUAAUUUUUUUAAAUGCAUUACUUAAUUAUUGUUUAGUUAAUAUUUUGAAUAUAUAAUUUAAAUAAAUUGUUUGACAUAGCAUAAUGGGAAGGAGAGAAAAACAAAUACCGCGUAGACCUCCAUUUCCGGUACGUGUUCCGGAAGUACGCCAACAAGUUUCUGCUGUACCUGCAAUAGUACUUGUACCUGUUGUACCUCCAUUUCAGCCAGAUCCAGUGUAUGUUCCGCAGGCGGUAGGUCCAUCGAGCUCACCAAUCGUAAUGAGAGUGAAACAACCAUCUAGGAGGCCCCGAUGAUGGAUCAUCCACUAAGGUUCUUUGGUCCAUAUCUACGACUUCGAAUAAUUGUUUAAUUUGUAUGUUGGAUUUGUUGGAUCGUGAUCCGAGGCUAUAAGGGAGGAUAAUAGUCUUUUUUCGAUUUAGGCAGGUUAAAUGCGAAAUUACCUGCAAAUACUUAAUACACAAAUGGUUGAAUAACAAU
rnacentral:lncRNA from 1 species